UUCUUGGUAGUUUACUGUAGAAUUGUAGUUUGUGGUACUAUAGGAAGUUUUAUUCUCUAGGAUG
rnacentral:tRNA from 2 species